rnacentral:rRNA from 1 species
GACGAACGCUGGCGGCGUGCCUAAUACAUGCAAGUAGAACGCACAGUUUAUACCGUAGCUUGCUACACCAUAGACUGUGAGUUGCGAACGGGUGAGUAACGCGUAGCUAACCUGCCUGGUAGCGGGGGAUAACUAUUGGAAACGAUAGCUAAUACCGCAUAAUAUUAAUUAUUGCAUGAUAAUUAAUUGAAAGGUGCAAUUGCACCACUACCAGAUGGACCUGCGUUGUAUUAGCUAGUAGGUGAGGUAACGGCUCACCUAGGCGACGAUACAUAGCCGACCUGAGAGGGUGAUCGGCCACACUGGGACUGGGAACAGGCCCAGACUCCUACGGGAGGCAGCAGGAGGGAAUCUUCGGAAAUGGACGAAAGUCUGACCGAGCAACGCCGCGUGAGUGGAGAAGGUUUUCGGAUCGUAAAGCUCUGUUUUAAGAGAAGAACGGGUGUGAGAGUGGAAAGUUCACACUGUGACGGUAUCUUAACAGAAAGGGACGGCUAACUACGUG